GGGCGUGUGUUGGAAUUGGUAGACAAGGCAGAUUUAGGAUCUGUUGGGGUUUCCCCGUGGGGGUUCGAGUCCCUUCACGCCCAUCA
rnacentral:tRNA from 1 species